ACAAGACAAGAGGACACAGCCCUAUGAUGGAGGAGGUUUAGACUGGACUUUGGGAUGGACUGCACGGGGAGGUGGUGGCAGCACCGUCGGUGGAGGUGUCCAAGGAAAGACUGGACGUGGCCUCGUGCCACGGUCUGUUUCACACGCUUUUCAGAGAUUACUAAAUACAGGCAGCCUGGACUUCUUUUUUUCUUGUGUGGAAUGGAUCAGAUGGAAACCAAGUAAAGAAGGAACGAUGGAAUAACUAAAUAGGUUCUUGAGAGUUCUACAAAAUACCAGGGCAUAGCCAAACAGGUGUGUUAUUCAAAAGGAAAGGAGCAGCACAAGGCUGCAGUCAAUGUCAUUGCUAAGUUUUUAAUUCAGAAAAAGGGAGCCUUCCUUCCAGCCAGCAAAAAGGAGGAGGCAGAUGUGGUCACUAUUUUGAUCAGAAAGCAGAGCUCAUCACACCUGGCUGCACGGCCUUACAAUGCACGUGUGCUGAACCAGGAGGCUGCGUGGGUGCCAGUCACCUGAACAACCUUGCCAGAGAAAUGGCAUGGUGGGGAACAGGCUACUGAGCAGAGAUCCAUGGAUAAUUCAGUGGU